GGAAUUUGCUCGAAGCUAAAAAGUCGAAUAUUUAUCGCUUGUUUCGCCAUUUAGCCGUACUUUAGUACGCAUGUUUACACGAGCGUGCGUAUCGCAAAUUAAUCAUGGCGGACAUACAUAAGACUUUUUUCUUGUCCAUCCUGUUGAUACAUUGACUUACUUCUGCAGUUUGAUAUUGCUAUAUAAAGUUUUGAGACUUCAAUAUUUUAAUUAAAAACGUUUUAAAACGAAAUGGCUGCAGAAUCGACUUUAAAUACAGAUAUAUUGAUACGUAGUAGAGCUUGGAUUCGAUUUUUUGGAUCAGAAAUCCUCAGAAAACUUAUAUUUUGUCCCCCAAGGGUGGGGCAUUUGCGUCAAUGUAAGUCCCCAAGGGUGGGGAUUUUGUUGCAUUAUUUGGACCCCAUACUGGGGCAUUUGCAACGUUUUUUUUCUCCAAAAUGACAAAAGCCCGACAAACGCCCGGGGGGGGGAUGGGCAACCAUGGAAUUGAUUGAGACAUUACUUCUACAAAUAUUUUGAUCGAAGGGAAUGAAAUGUCCGCCAUGUUCAAUUUUUGUAGAUAUGCAUAUCAGGAGUCACCCAAUAUUUUUAUCUGGACAACCACCGAUCAUUUUGCACUCAAAACUACACUCUGUCUGCCCUUCGAAAUAUCAAGAUCACUCAAAACCUUUAAAACAUCUACCAAUCAAUAUUUGGUCAGCAACGAAUACUUUUAUAUGGUUAAUCCCUGUUGUGACGUCACCAAAACUACCACUAAUGAGAUAAGAAAAUUAUCCAAGAUGGCGGUCAUCUCCUUACUUCAAAUGACAAUAUUUCAAGAACUAAGCAAGAUAUGAAAAUCGGUAAAAGAAGUUAAAAUAUAGUUUCAAAAGUUCUUUCAAAUGAGAAAAUAAAAAUUUAUAUUGCCGUUUCCCUUUAAAGUUUUCUUCCUUGUGUUACGUACUCUCUUAUACUCUUUCUUGACACUUUCAUCCACAGAGGCGUUACGUUAAACGAGCCUUGAGUAAGAUUAACAUACGCUAACCUGGUUUUACCCUCUCUUAUUUUGAACACGAACGCUCCCGCGCGCGCGCUUUCACCAAUAGACCUUUCCCAGGAUACGUGUGGCCGCGCGUGAAAGCGAGGCUCUGGCACAGAAUAGGAAGUUAUACCAGAAGCGUAACUCGAGCAUAUAUUUGUCCGCGUUUUUACAAGCGAUUCGUCAUCAAUCACGCCAUCCUGGCUAGUACAACCGGCACUUUGUACCUACCAAAUCCUGAUAAAAACUUCCGGCUGUACUAGCCAGGAUGGCGUGGCCUGACGUGAGCGAGUUAAAAUUUUCCAACCUCGUCCCCAGGGUCUUCCUCGUGGUGGCGCGUGAGCUGAGGAAGACCCUGGUAAAAUACGAUGAAAUCUCCAAGAUUCUUGGAGAUUUAUCGCAUGCGCAGUAACGACAACGUUAUGUUGCUG